CAGAGGGGGCUAGCGUUGUUCGGAAUUACUGGGCGUAAAGGGCGCGUAGGCUGUCUUGUAAGUCAGAUGUGAAAUCCCAGGGCUUAACCCCGGAAUUGCAUUUGAAACUAUGAGACUAGAGAAUGAUAGGGGAUAGCAGAAUUCCUAGUGUAGGAGUGAAAUCCGUAGAUAUUAGGAGGAAUACCAGUGGCGAAGGCGGCUAUCUGGAUCAUUUCUGACGCUGAGGCGCGAAAGUGUGGGGAGCAAACAGGAUUAGAUACCCUGGUAGUCCACACUGUAAACGAUGAGUGCUAGAUGUCGGCCCUUUAUGGGUCGGUGUUGCAGCUAACGCAUUAAGCACUCCGCCUGGGGAGUACGGUCGCAAGAUUA
rnacentral:rRNA from 1 species